rnacentral:rRNA from 1 species
AGAGUUUGAUCCUGGCUCAGGAUGAACGCUGGCGGCGUGCUUAACACAUGCAGGUCGAACGGAGUAAUAUGAAGUUUACGGACAGAUUAUACUUAGUGGCGGACGGGUGAGUAACGCGUGGGUAACCUACCUCAUACAGGGGGAUAACAGUUGGAAACGACUGCUAACACCGCAUAACAAGUUGGGACCGCAUGAUCCUAACUUCAAAUAUUUAUAGGUAUGAGAUGGGCCCGCGUCUGAUUAGCUAGUUGGUGGGGUAAUGGCCUACCAAGGCGACGAUCAGUAGCCGGCUUGAGAGAGUGACCGGCCACAUUGGGACUGAGACACGGCCCAAACUCCUACGGGAGGCAGCAGUGGGGAAUAUUGGACAAUGGGGGCAACCCUGAUCCAGCGACGCCCGCGUGAGUGAAGAAGUAUUUCGGUAUGUAAAGCUCUAUCAGCAGGGAAGAUGAUGACAGUACCUGACUAAGAAGCCCCGGCUAACUACGUGCCAGCAGCCGC